rnacentral:lncRNA from 1 species
CGCAGAUCUUGUUGAUAAAUUGUUGAGCGAGUCAGUGCCAUCUCGCGCUCUUCUUCUAGUAGAUCCACUCCGUCUUGCCUGGCUUGCUCUGCUUCGGCUUCGGAGAAGAGUUCGACUCGUGGAGAGUUGUGAAGCAAGUCACUCGGAAGGACCGCCUCUGCUCCAUAAACGAGGAAGAACGGGGAUCACCCUGUAGAUC